AGUGAACGCUGGCGGCAGGCCUAACACAUGCAAGUCGAACGGCAGCACAGUAAGAGCUUGCUCUUACGGGUGGCGAGUGGCGGACGGGUGAGGAAUACAUCGGAAUCUACUCUUUCGUGGGGGAUAACGUAGGGAAACUUACGCUAAUACCGCAUACGACCCACGGGUGAGAGCAGUGAAACUUUGAAACUUGUUCGGUUGAACGAGGGGAUGUCGGAUUAGCUAGUUGGCGGGGUAAAGGCCCACCACGUCGACGAUCCGUAGCUGGUGUGAGAGGAUGAGCAGCCACACUGGAACUGAGACACGGUCCAGACUCCUACGGGAGGCAGCAGUGGGGAAUAUUGGACAAUGGGCGCAAGCCUGAUCCAGCCAUACCGCGUGGGUGAAGAAGUCCUUCGGGUUGUGAAGCCCUUUUGUUGGGAAAGAAAAGCAGCAGGUUAAUACCCCGCUGUUCUGCCGGUACCCAAAGAAUAAGCACCGGCUAACUUCGUG
rnacentral:rRNA from 1 species